GUCACACUCCUCCGCCCGCCCAGGUCGCGGCCGCUACAGCCGCCGCUGCCCCCGCCCCCUACUCCGCGCGCCGCCCGCGUGGGCCGCGGUGGGAGGCGCCGGUGGCAGGUUCCCGCGAGCCCGGGUCGGCGAGCAGCUCCGCGGGGACCGCCGUAGGCCGCGAGUCCACGGGGUGCCAAGAGCUCCCCCUCCCCGGACCCCGGCCCCGGCUGAGGCAGCAACGGUUUGCCCGGGCCCUCCCCCUUCCCUCCACCACAGCGAAUCUUCCUGGACCAGAGCGCGACACGCGCCUAACACGGGCUUGCCCUCAGCCCUGAAACCAGGUGCUUGCUGGCAACGCAGAAGAGGAAAAAGUGAAGAAAGCGAAAACGAAGGGCAGCUGAAUGGGAACGAUUCGGGGGGUCUUCCCGGCUCCCAGCACCCCCAAGAAGAUGGCUGCCGGUAAAUCUCGCGAGAAUUGAUGAAAUCUCGCGGUGACUCCCGGAGCCUGCUGGGAAGAGACGAGGGAAAGGCCGCUGGCUUCAGAAUCAGCAGGAACUUCAGCAGCUCGAACUCUGUACCAGACGGCGUGGCCCAUCGGCUGGAACGACGCUACUACUGGAGCGCUUUCUUGAGAGCAUCCGCUCGGAUGUGUCUGGACACAGGCGAUCAGGGGGUUACAGUGAUUUUAGACUUACCUGUGUGAUUUGCUUUGACUAAAUGAGACUAAAUAUGCUGAGAUAAAUGUGAUACAAGUCAACAACUUGAAAAGUGUUGCACAUCCUUUUGAACCCUGAGAACCCUGAGGCCACCAUGUGAAGAGGUCCCAACUAGAUCCAGCCUGCCAACCACCAGAUGUGUGAGAAAGAUCAAACUAAACCACUUACCUUCUGCCCAGUCAGCCCCACUGUAACAUCCCAACAACUCACAGAAUGAUGAGAAAUAAUAAAUGGUUUUAAGCCACUAAUUUGAGGUGGUUAGUUAUAUAGUGAACACUAACUGAUACAAAGCCCAGCCAACACACAACUGAGGCUUGUAGUUUCUAAAACACUUAUUUUUCUUAUGACAGCUUUAACUUUCAUUCUAUCAUUCAUUCACCCAAUAUUCAUAGUUGACUUACUUGUAAAAGGAAAUUCAUGUUUGAAUGAAAUUAAGCUAACUUAUGUCAUCGAAUGCUGAACAGCAAGCCUCUUAGGCAACAGGAACCAGCAUAUCUCUCAGAAUCAAAUCUGCCAAUAUAUGUUCCUUCAUGGACAUUUUCUAUAGAAUGCUCAUGCAUCCCAAAGGCACAAUAGCAAGCACCUACUCUGGGUAUCUCUGUUCAAGAUACAAAUGAUCAGGAUAGAGAAGCUAAAUGAUUGAGCUUGAGCCUAUGCCUAUCUCUUCACCAAGGAAGAGGGAUUUACUACCAAUAUAAACUAGAGAAUAGGGCACAUCAUCACACAUAACACUUCAACAGGAAUCAAAUUCUGAUUCUUUUUCUUUAAUAAUGACCUUGUUUGCAAGUGAUUUUCCAGAAAAUGGAUGUUAACUUAAUUUGGGAAUUGUAUAUCCAAAAGGCAAAUUCAAAUCACAAAUAAAACACACAAGUAGGCAAAUAGCCCAGACGAAACCAGCGGAAAUUAUCUUUGGGGAAGACUUACCGGGAGUUGAAGCAAUGAUGAGCUUCUUAGCAAUGAGAGC
ensembl:lncRNA